rnacentral:rRNA from 1 species
GAAGCGGGAUGAGCUCAAAUUUGUAAUCUGGUGGACUCAGUUCAUCCGAAUUGUAAUCUAUAGAAAAGUUUUCCGCGCUGGACCGUGUCUAAGUCCCUUGGAACAGGGUGUCAGAGAGGGUGAGAAUCCCGUGCUUGAUACGACCACCAGUGCUAUGUGAUACUUUUUCAACGAGUCGAGUUGUUUGGGAAUGCAGCUCAAAAUGGGUGGUAAAUUCCAUCUAAAGCUAAAUAUUGGCGAGAGACCGAUAGCGAACAAGUACCGUGAGGGAAAGAUGAAAAGCACUUUGGAAAGAGAGUUAAACAGUACGUGAAAUUGUUAAAAGGGAAACGAUUGAAGUCAGUCGUGCUCUCUAGGACUCAGCCAGUUCUUCUGGUGUAUUUCCUAGUGAGCGGGUCAACAUCAGUUUAGAUCGCUGGAUAAGGUCAUUAGGAAUGUGGCUCCCUCGGGAGUGUUAUAGCCUAGUGUCGCAUACAGUGGUUUAGACUGAGGAACGCAGCUCGCCUUUAUGGCCGGGGUUCGCCCACGUCCGAGCUUAGGAUGUUGACAUAAUGGCUUUAAACGACCCGUCUU